rnacentral:tRNA from 1 species
GGUUUCGUAGCUCAAUUGGUUAGAGCAUCGACCUGAUACGUCGAAGGUUGAAGGUUCGAGUCCUUCCGAAACUA